AGAGUUUGAUCCUGGCUCAGGAUGAACGCUGGCGGCGUGCUUAACACAUGCAAGUCGAACGAAGCGAGAACUAAAGCGCAAGCAGAGGUUCUUGACUGAGUGGCGGACGGGUGAGUAACGCGUGGAUAACCUGCCUUUCACAGGGGGAUAACAGCUGGAAACGGUUGCUAAUACCGCAUGAGCCUCUUUUGUCGCAUGACGGGAGAGGGAAAGAGAAAUCGGUGAGAGAUGGAUCCGCGUCCGAUUAGCUAGUUGGAGGGGUAACAGCCCACCAAGGCGACGAUCGGUAGCCGACCUGAGAGGGUGGACGGCCACAUUGGGACUGAGACACGGCCCAAACUCCUACGGGAGGCAGCAGUGGGGAAUAUUGCACAAUGGGGGAAACCCUGAUGCAGCAACGCCGCGUGAGUGAGGAAGUAUUUCGGUAUGUAAAGCUCUAUCAGCAGGGAAUAGAAAAGAAGGUACCUGAAAAAGAAGCCCCGGCUAACUACGUGCCAGCAGCCGCGGUAAUACGUAGGGGGCAAGCGUUAUCCGGAUUUACUGGGUGUAAAGGGAGCGUAGACGGAAAGGCAAGUCAGAAGUGAAAACCCAAGGCUCAACCAUGGGACUGCUUUUGAAACUGUCAAACUAGAGUACGGGAGAGGUAAGAGGAAUUCCUAGUGUAGCGGUGAAAUGCGUAGAUAUUAGGAGGAACACCAGUGGCGAAGGCGUCUUACUGGACCGAAACUGACGUUGAGGCUCGAAAGCGUGGGGAGCAAACAGGAUUAGAUACCCCUGGUAGUCCACGCGGUAAACGAUGAAUACUAGGUGUUGGGGUAAAGAAACCUCGGUGCCGCAGCAAACGCAAUAAGUAUUCCACCUGGGGAGUACGUUCGCAAGAAUGAAACUCAAAGGAAUUGACGGGGACCCGCACAAGCGGUGGAGCAUGUGGUUUAAUUCGAAGCAACGCGAAGAACCUUACCAAGUCUUGACAUCCCGAUGAAUAGUAGGGAAAUCUAUUAGCCCUUCGGGGCAUCGGAGACAGGUGGUGCAUGGUUGUCGUCAGCUCGUGUCGUGAGAUGUUGGGUUAAGUCCCGCAACGAGCGCAACCCUUAUAUUUAGUAGCCAGCAGGUGAAGCUGGGAACUCUAGAUAGACUGCCAAGGAUAACUUGGAGGAAGGCAGGGACGACGUCAAAUCAUCAUGCCCCUUAUGAUUUGGGCUACACACGUGCUACAAUGGCGGAAACAAAGGGAAGCGAAGCCGUGAGGUGAAGCAAAACUCAGAAAUACCGUCUCAGUUCGGAUUGUAGGCUGCAACUCGCCUACAUGAAGCUGGAAUCGCUAGUAAUCGCAGAUCAGAACGCUGCGGUGAAUACGUUCCCGGGUCUUGUACACACCGCCCGUCACACCAUGGGAGUUGGAAAUGCCCGAAGUCAGUGACCCAACCUGAAAAGGAGGGAGCUGCCGAAGGUGGAGCCAGUAACUGGGGUGAAGUCGUAACAAGGUAACC
rnacentral:rRNA from 1 species